AACGAACGCUGGCGGCAGGCUUAACACAUGCAAGUCGAACGGAUCCUUCGGGAUUAGUGGCGGACGGGUGAGUAACGCGUGGGAACGUACCCUUUGCUACGGAAUAACUCAGGAAAACUUGAGCUAAUACCGAAUGUGCCCUACGGGGGAAAGAUUUAUCGGCAAAGGAUCGGCCCGCGUUGGAUUAGCUAGUUGGUGGGGUAAUGGCCUACCAAGGCGACGAUCCAUAGCUGGUCUGAGAGGAUGAUCAGCCACACUGGGACUGAGACACGGCCCAGACUCCUACGGGAGGCAGCAGUGGGGAAUAUUGGACAAUGGGCGCAAGCCUGAUCCAGCCAUGCCGCGUGAGUGAUGAAGGUCUUAGGAUUGUAAAGCUCUUUCACCGGUGAAGAUAAUGACGGUAGCCGGAGAAGAAGCCCCGGCUAACUUCGUG
rnacentral:rRNA from 1 species